rnacentral:rRNA from 1 species
GAUGAACGCUGGCUACAGGCUUAACACAUGCAAGUCGAGGGGAAACGGCAUUGAGUGCUUGCACUGAAUGGACGUCGACCGGCGCACGGGUGAGUAACGCGUAUCCAACCUUCCCGAUAGUGCGGGAUAACCUGCCGAAAGGCAGACUAAUACCGCAUGUUCUUCGAAGACGGCAUCAGAUUCGAAGCAAAGAUCCGUCGGUAACGGAGGGGGAUGCGUAUGAUUAGCUAGUUGGCGGGGCGACGGCCCACCAAGGCGACGAUCAGUAGGGGUUGUGAGAGGAAGGUCCCCCACGUUGGGACUGAGACACGGUCCAAACUCCUACGGGAGGCAGCAGUGAGGAAUAUUGGUCAAUGGGCGGAAGCCUGAACCAGCCAAGUAGCGUGCAGGUUGACGGCCCUACGGGUUGUAAACUGCUUUUAUGCGGG